GGAAUCUUCCACAAUGGACGAAAGUCUCAUGGAGCAACGCCGCGUGAGUGAAGAAGGUUUUCGGAUCGUAAAACUCUGUUGUUGGAGAAGAACACGUUUGAGAGUAACUGUUCAGACGUUGACGGUAUCCAACCAGAAAGCCACGGCUAACUACGUGCCAGCAGCCGCGGUAAUACGUAGGUGGCGAGCGUUAUCCGGAUUUACUGGGUGUAAAGGGCGCGUAGGCGGGGAUGCAAGUCAGAUGUGAAAUCUAUGGGCUUAACUCAUAAACUGCAUUUGAAACUGUAUCUCUUGAGUGCUGGAGAGGUAGACGGAAUUCCUUGUGUAGCGGUGAAAUGCGUAGAUAUAAGGAAGAACACCAGUGGCGAAGGCGGUCUACUGGACAGUAACUGACGCUGAGGCGCGAGAGCGUGGGGAGCAAACA
rnacentral:rRNA from 1 species